AGGUCGUUUACAUAGCGUUGGGGCUAAUCGCUCUUUGUCAAUAUGUAUAUGCCGCCAGUCAAAAGAAAGGAUUCGGCAUUGACGCGUCUGGAUUUCGAUGUGGUGAUACUUGGGCAUUAACAGAUGCCUCGUGGUGGUAUGAUUGGAGAUUUGAUCAAGGAGAGCGACACUGGCACUAUUGUCCGAACGCUGGAAAACCUGGAUACGUUCCAAUGAUAUUUAAUGAAGCGCUUGCCCACACGGCUGUGAUCCCACAAGAUGCAAAAUAUGUAUUAGGCUUUAAUGAGCCCAAUGAGCCAGAGCAAGCAGGAAUGACCCCAGAGAGAUGUGCUCAGGUUUGGCCACUUGUCGAACAAAAAGCUGGGAAUCGAAUUUUGAUUGGCCCAGCUCUAAAUGACUGUGACACGGAUCCCGACAUGUGCAUCCAAUGGUAUGAAAGGUUUUUUAAAACUUGUCCAAACUGCCGAGUUGAUAGAAUUGCUAUCCAUGGUUACCACUGCCUUCCAUACAAAAUGAUUGACUCCAUUACAAAGAUUUCAAAGCAUUUCAAAAGAAAAAUUUGGCUUACAGAGUUUAGUUGCAAAGGUUACGUCUCUGUCGAUGAUGAUAUGAACUUCAUGAGAACUCUAAUACCCAUGCUUGAGAAAUCACCGUAUGUGGAGAGAUAUGCAUGGUUCGAUUUACGUCUAGCCAACCUUACCGGGUACUUGCCAAACCGCAGCACCAAUCUUUUGGAACAGGACUCUUCAAAACUAACAAGGCUCGGCCAACUUUACAACACUUUGCGAUGAAGUAUUUAUCUUUGAAUAAAAUAUAAUCCCUAUUAUAA